UACAGAGGGGGCGAGCGUUGUUCGGAAUUACUGGGCGUAAAGGGCGCGUAGGCGGCCCGCUAAGUCGAACGUGAAAUCCCCAGGCUCAACCUGGGAACUGCGUCCGAUACUGGCAGGCUUGAAUCCGGGAGAGGUGAGUGGAACUGCGAGUGUAGAGGUGAAAUUCGUAGAUAUUCGCAAGAACACCAGUGGCGAAGGCGGCUCACUGGCCCGAUACUGACGCUGAGGUGCGAAAGCGUGGGGAGCAAACAGG
rnacentral:rRNA from 1 species